AAAUAGUCUGAAGGAAUACGCACGCAGCAAAGCGGAGAUCACAUCCAAGAGCGAGCGGAAGCGCGCAGCUUCGAUUUCGGCGAGGGUUUUUUUGGGAGAGGAGGAUCGAUGGCGAAGGGGGAGGGCCCGGCGAUCGGGAUCGACCUCGGCACGACCUACUCCUGCGUCGGGGUGUGGCAGCACGACCGUGUGGAGAUCAUCGCCAACGACCAGGGGAACCGCACCACGCCGUCGUAUGUCGCCUUCACCGACACCGAGCGGCUCAUCGGCGACGCCGCCAAGAACCAGGUCGCCAUGAACCCCACCAACACCGUCUUCGAUGCGAAGCGGUUGAUUGGUAGGAGGUUCUCUGACCCGUCCGUGCAGAGUGACAUGAAGCUAUGGCCGUUCAAGGUCGUGGCUGGCCCCGGCGACAAGCCGAUGAUCGUCGUGCAGUACAAGGGCGAGGAGAAGCAGUUCUCGGCGGAGGAGAUCUCCUCCAUGGUGCUGAUCAAGAUGAGGGAGAUCGCCGAGGCCUACCUCGGCUCAUCCAUCAAGAACGCCGUGGUCACCGUCCCCGCCUACUUCAACGACUCGCAGAGGCAGGCCACAAAGGACGCCGGCGUCAUCGCCGGCCUCAACGUGAUGCGCAUCAUCAACGAGCCCACCGCCGCCGCUAUCGCAUAUGGCCUCGACAAGAAGGCGACCAGCAGCGGCGAGAAGAACGUGCUCAUCUUUGAUCUGGGCGGUGGCACCUUCGACGUGUCGCUGCUCACCAUCGAGGAGGGCAUCUUCGAGGUCAAGUCCACCGCCGGCGACACCCACCUCGGCGGCGAGGACUUCGACAACCGCAUGGUGAACCACUUCGUGCAAGAGUUCAAGCGCAAGAACAAGAAGGACAUCAGCGGCAACCCCCGCGCGCUGCGGCGGCUCCGGACGGCGUGCGAACGCGCCAAGCACGCUGUCGUCGACGGCGCAGACCACGAUCGAGAUCGACUCGCUCUACGAGGGCAUCGACUUCUACACGACGAUCACCAGGGCGCGGUUCGAGGAGCUCAACAUGGACCUGUUCCGCAAGUGCAUGGAGCCCGUGGAGAAGUGCCUCCGCGACGCCAAGAUGGACAAGAGCACCGUGCACGACGUCGUGCUCGUCGGCGGCUCCACCCGCAUCCCCAAGGUGCAGCAGCUGCUCCAGGACUUCUUCAACGGCAAGGAGCUCUGCAAGAGCAUCAACCCCGACGAGGCCGUGGCUUACGGCGCCGCCGUCCAGGCCGCGAUCCUGAGCGGCGAGGGCAACGAGAAGGUGCAGGACCUGCUCCUGCUCGACGUCACGCCGCUGUCCCUCGGCCUGGAGACCGCCGGUGGCGUCAUGACCGUGCUCAUCCCGCGGAACACGACCAUCCCGACGAAGAAGGAGCAGGUCUUCUCCACCUACUCCGACAACCAGCCCGGCGUCUUGAUCCAGGUGUACGAGGGUGAGCGUGCCAGGACCAAGGACAACAACCUCCUCGGCAAGUUCGAGCUCUCCGGCAUCCCUCCGGCGCCGCGCGGCGUGCCGCAGAUCAGCGUCUGCUUCGACAUCGACGCCAACGGCAUCCUGAACGUGUCGGCGGAGGACAAGACGACGGGGCAGAAGAACAAGAUCACGAUCACCAACGACAAGGGGCGGCUGAGCAAGGAGGAGAUCGAGAAGAUGGUGCAGGAGGCGGAGAAGUACAAGUCGGAGGACGAGGAGCACAAGAAGAAGGUGGACGCCAAGAACGCGCUGGAGAACUACGCCUACAACAUGCGCAACACCAUCAAGGACGAGAAGAUCGCAUCCAAGCUCGCCGCCGAUGACAAGAAGAAGAUAGAGGACGCCAUCGACGGCGCCAUCAGCUGGCUGGACAGCAACCAGCUCGCGGAGGCCGACGAGUUCGAGGACAAGAUGAAGGAGCUGGAGGGCAUCUGCAACCCGAUCAUCGCCAAGAUGUACCAGGGCGCCGGCGCCGACAUGGGAGCCGGAGGCAUGGACGAGGACGCUCCGGUGGGCGGCAGCGGCGCAGGCCCCAAGAUUGAGGAGGUCGACUAAACUGCUCCAUGGUCACCUGAUCUUCUGUCCGCCAUUGUCUUUAGCUUAAAGCUUUUGCUUGUUCUGUCGUAUCGUCAUUUCGUAUGGUAGAAAAAUUUGUGGAAGCUGACUGUGGUUUGGUUUGGUAGUUGGAACUUCAAUCCCAGCAGCUUUUGAAUAUGGGGAUGCAUU